rnacentral:rRNA from 1 species
GACGAACGCUGGCGGCGUGCUUAACACAUGCAAGUCGAACGGAAAGGCCCUGCUUUUGUUGGGUGCUCGAGUGGCGAACGGGUGAGUAACACGUGAGUAACCUGCCCUUGACUUUGGGAUAACUUCAGGAAACUGGGGCUAAUACCGGAUAGGAGCUCCUGCUGCAUGGUGGGGGUUGGAAAGUUUCGGCGGUUGGGGAUGUACUCGCGGCUUAUCAGCUUGUUGGUGGGGUAGUGGCUUACCAAGGCUUUGACGGGUAGCCGGCCUGAGAGGGUGACCGGCCACAUUGGGACUGAGAGACGGCCCAGACUCCUACGGGAGGCAGCAGUGGGGAAUAUUGCACAAUGGGCGGAAGCCUGAUGCAGCAACGCCGCGUGCGGGAUGACGGCCUUCGGGUUGUAAACCGCUUUCGCCUGUGACGAAGCGUGAGUGACGGUAAUGGGUAAAGAAGCACCGGCUAACUACGUG